AACGAACGCUGGCGGCAGGCCUAACACAUGCAAGUCGAGCGCACCUUCGGGUGAGCGGCGGACGGGUUAGUAACGCGUGGGAACGUACCCUUUUCUACGGAAUAGCCUUUGGAAACGAAGAGUAAUACCGUAUACGCCCUUUGGGGGAAAGAUUUAUCGGAGAAGGAUCGGCCCGCGUUAGAUUAGAUAGUUGGUGGGGUAACGGCUUACCAAGUCUACGAUCUAUAGCUGGUUUUAGAGGAUGAUCAGCAACACUGGGACUGAGACACGGCCCAGACUCCUACGGGAGGCAGCAGUGGGGAAUCUUAGACAAUGGGCGCAAGCCUGAUCUAGCCAUGCCGCGUGAGUGAUGAAGGCCUUAGGGUCGUAAAGCUCUUUCGCCUGUGAUGAUAAUGACAGUAGCAGGUAAAGAAACCCCGGCUAACUCCGUGCCAGCAGCCGCGGUAAUACGGAGGGGGUUAGCGUUGUUCGGAAUUACUGGGCGUAAAGCGCACGUAGGCGGAUUGGAAAGUUGGGGGUGAAAUCCCGGGGCUCAACCCCGGAACUGCCUCCAAAACUAUCAGUCUAGAGUUCGAGAGAGGUGAGUGGAAUUCCAAGUGUAGAGGUGAAAUUCGUAGAUAUUUGGAGGAACACCAGUGGCGAAGGCGGCUCACUGGCUCGAUACUGA
rnacentral:rRNA from 2 species